GCCUCCGUGGCGCAAUCGGCUAGUGCUUUUCGGCUGCUCACCGAAAGGUUCGUGGUUCGAGCCCACCAGGGGGCG